AAUCAAGUCCUGAUAUAAAAGCAUGCUGUUCUGCAGACGCUGUACAGAUACGUGCUGGAGGACGUGUACGAGUUCCCCGCGCUGGAGAAGGACCUCAAGGACUUCCAGAAACUCCUGCGCCGGAGACAUACGGUGGACGACUACUCUCCACACCAGAAGAAUAAAGCGCUGUACCAGCAGCUGAGUCUGAAGGAGAACUGCGUUCCUCUCCGAGCAUCUCCAGUCGAGAGCAAAGACGGUAUACACACACACACGAAUCAGAAAUAGGAACUAAACUUUAAAUCUCAAUUGAAAGAUAAAGAGUAUAAAAAAAAUAGGUAAAGAAGACGUAUAAAGUUGGGUGUCAUGUGCAUAACAAUAAAAAAGGACUUCCUAAAGGCAAUGAAUAAAUGAUAAACAACAGAGGACCCAAGACUGAACCCUGGGGAACACCUGGAGAACAUGUGAUGAUCAGUUCAACUAACUGAGUGUGUCCAGAGGGAUACGAUCUAAACCUUAGAAAGAUGUUAGGAGACUCUUACGGACUCUUACAUGGGUUCUGUGCUGCAUUUAUCUUAUCAGACAGAAAAUCUGAAAAACUCAGAUGCGACUACCUCAUCCAGUGUUUUACAAAUAGGAAAAAAUUCAUAUA